CGAUUCCCUACGGGGUGCAGCAGGCGCGAAAACUUUACAAUGCGGGAAACCGUGAUAAGGGAACUCCGAGUGUCCGUAAAUGCGGACUGUCCGUCUGUUUAAAAAGCAGGCGAAGAAAGGGCCGGGCAAGACCGGUGCCAGCCGCCGCGGUAAUACCGGCGGCUCGAGUGGUGGCCACUAUUACUGGGCUUAAAGCGUUCGUAGCUGGGUCGUUAAGUCUCUUGGGAAAUCUACCGGCUUAACCGAUAGGCGUCCAAGGGAUACUGGCGAUCUAGGGACCGGGAGAGGUGAGGGGUACUUCAGGGGUAGGAGUGAAAUCCUGUAAUCCUUGGGGGACCACCUGUGGCGAAGGCGCCUCACCAGAACGGCUCCGACAGUGAGGGACGAAAGCUGGGGGAGCAAACCGGAUUAGAUACCCGGGUAGUCCCAGCCGUAAACGAUGCGCGUUAGGUGUAUCGAUGACCACGAGUCAUCGAGGUGCCGAAGGGAAACCGUGAAACGCGCCGCCUGGGAAGUACGGUCGCAAGGCUGAAACUUAAAGGAAUUGGCGGGGGAGCACCACAACAGGUGGAGCCUGCGGUUUAAUCGGACUCAACGCCGGAAAUCUCACCGGAUAAGACAGCUGAAUGAUAGUCGGGCUGAAGACUCUACUUGACUAGCUGAGAGGAG
rnacentral:rRNA from 1 species